CACGUAGGCACCAAGCGUUGUCCGGAUUUAUUGGGCGUAAAGAGCUCGUAGGCGGUUGAGUAAGUCGGGUGUGAAGACUCUGGGCUUAACCCAGAGCCGCCACUCGAUACUGCUCUAACUUGAGUUCGGUAGGGGAGCAGGGAAUUCCUAGUGUAGCGGUGAAAUGCGCAGAUAUUAGGAGGAACACCGGUGGCGAAGGCGCUGCUCUGGGCCGAAACUGACGCUGAGGAGCGAAAGCGUGGGUAGCAAACAGG
rnacentral:rRNA from 1 species